CAACGUUUGACAUCCCUAUCGCGGAUCGUGGAGACNCUUUCCUUCAGUUCGGCUGGAUAGGUGACAGGUGCUGCAUGGCUGUCGUCAGCUCGUGUCGUGAGAUGUUGGGUUAAGUCCCGCAACGAGCGCAACCCUCGCCUUUAGUUGCCAUCAUUUAGUUGGGUACUCUAAAGGAACCGCCGGUGAUAAGCCGGAGGAAGGUGGGGAUGACGUCAAGUCCUCAUGGCCCUUACGCGUUGGGCUACACACGUGCUACAAUGGCGACUACAGUGGGCAGCCACUCCGCGAGGAGGAGCUAAUCUCCAAAAGUCGUCUCAGUUCGGAUCGUUCUCUGCAACUCGAGAGCGUGAAGGCGGAAUCGCUAGUAAUCGCGGAUCAGCAUGCCGCGGUGAAUACGUUCCCAGGCCUUGUACACACCGNCCGUNACACCAUGGGAGUUGGAUUCACUCGAAGGCGUUGAGCUAACCGCAAAGAGGCAGGGGACCCCANUGGGUUUANCGACUGGGGNCC
rnacentral:rRNA from 1 species